rnacentral:rRNA from 1 species
AUGGCCCAUGCAAGAGGCAUCCUCCUCCCCACGUUCUACCACCUGAUGAUCAGCUGCUACCUGUUUCUAGCCGCCUACACGGCUCGACAGGCCGCCGCGCUAUCCUUCGACUACGACUUCACCAACCCGACGGACCGCGAGCAGCUCAACUUCAUCAACGCGUCCUACGACGGCAGGGACCGGCUCAUCCUCACCGACGACAUCUCCAACCUCACCGGCGGCGUCACGCACCGGCAGCCAGUGCGCCUUUGGGACGGCGCCGGCAGGAGGGCCAGCUUCACCACCAGCUUCCACUUCGCCAUCGUCCAUGGCGGCAACACAACAGCCAACUCCAAACGGGGGGGCGGCACUAUGUCGUUCUUCAUCGGGCCUUUCCCGCCGCCGGGCUGGGAGGUCGGCCUCCUCGGGCUCUUCAGCGACAAGAACAGCACCAGCGCCGGCGACUCGCGGCACACCCUCGGCGUGGAGUUCGACACGCGCCGGAAGGACGACGGCUGGGACCCCUCAAGCGAGGACGGCACCGCCACCAGAGGCGACCACAUCGGCAUAGACAUCAACGGCACCAGGUGUAACCUGACCAGAAGCCUGCCGCCGUUGAGCCUCCGUGGCACCUUGUGGGCGAGCAUCACGUACGACGCCAAGUCCAAGGUGAUGAAAGUUGUGGUUCGGAAGACCGAGCUGGCGGCGGAGUCGAGCAUGACCUACGAGUUCAAUGCGACCAUGGAUCUCAGGGACCACGCCGGUCUUGUACAGGAUUCCGCCGUCGGGUUCACGGCAGCCACCGGACUCCUCAGCCAGUCGCACCAGCUGCUCGCUUGGUCCUUCCACUCAACAGUUUUGUUUGCCGGUCUCCUAUCCACUGUUCUCGUUCUUCUCUAUAGUACUGUUAUGCACCGUGGAAGACGGUGUCUUGAUGAAACAAUUUUGCAAGUUGCAAGGAAAUUCCCGUACUCAGAGCUAGUAGUGGCGACGGAUAACUUCUCCGAGGAUAGGAAAAUCGGCAAGGGAUCCUUUGGCGAUGUUUACAAAGGGCGGCUAACAACGCCAGACUUACGGGCGGUGGCGGUGAAGGAGAUGCGGCAGCCGACGUCGAGGAGGAACCAGAAGAACUAUGUGCACGAAAUCGAGACCUUGUGCCAGCUGCGCCACAAGAACCUCUUGUCACUCAUCGGUUGGUGCGAUGACAAUGGUCGUCUGUUGCUUGUCUAUGAGCUCGAACCCAACGGUAGCGUCAGCGACCAUCUCCAUGGCAGCGGCGACGGUGGGGGGACAUUGACAUGGCCACAGAGGUACAAUAUACUUCUCGGCGUCGCAACCGCCAUUGACUACCUCCACAAUGGUGCCUACGACUCGGCCAGGAGGUAUGUGCUACACCGGGACAUCAAGCCUAGCAACGUGAUGCUGGGAGAGGGAUUCGAGGCCAAGCUCGGUGACUUUGGGCUCGUGCGGCAAGUCAGCUGCCACGAUGGCGUAUGUACUCCUUGUACCACCGUGAUUGGGAGCAUGGACUACAUGGACCCCAGGUACAUCGAGACUGGCACAUUGAGCCCAGCCUCUGAUAUAUAUAGCUUUGGGUUGGUUCUGCUGGAGGUAGCCACCGGCGUGAGACCAGUCGUCCCGGGAAGGGCAUCCAACCGAAACAAUCUCAUCGCCGCCAUCAAGGAGUCCUAUAGCAGGGAUGCCAUCCUUGAGAUGCUAGAUGAGCGGAUGAGAGGGGAGUUGAAGCAGUGGCGGUGGCAGAUGGAGCGUGUCAUGGUAACAGGGCUGAUGUGUGUUGAGGAAGAGCGUGAUAAGCGGCCAUCCAUCAAAGAUGUCAUCAACUUGCUCGCCAAGCAGGAGCAAUCUCUGACAUCCGUUUGGUCCAUGAAAGAUUCUUCAAUGAGGACGACGGAUCGAUUUCAUUCCAUACUAGUAGCUAGCAAGGUUGGCUUCUCAAGUGCAAGGGCAUCAUCUUUAGCUUAUUGA